AUUGAACGCUGGCGGCAGGCCUAACACAUGCCAGUCGAACGGUAACAGGAAGCAGCUUGCUGCUUCGCUGACGAGUGGCGGACGGGUGAGUAAUGUCUGGGAAGCUGCCUGAUGGAGUGGGAUAACUACUGGAAACGGUAGCUAAUACCGCAUAAUGUCGCAAGACCAAAGAGGGGGACCUUCGGGCCUCUUGCCAUCGGAUGUGCCCAGAUGGGAUUAGCUUGUUGGUGGGGUAACGGCUCACCAAGGCGACGAUCCCUAGCUGGUCUGAGAGGAUGACCAGCCACACUGGAACUGAGACACGGUCCAGACUCCUACGGGAGGCAGCAGUGGGGAAUAUUGCACAAUGGGCGCAAGCCUGAUGCAGCCAUGCCGCGUGUAUGAAGAAGGCCUUCGAGUUGUAAAGUACUUUCAGCGGGGAGGAAGGGAGUAAAGUUAAUACCUUUGCUCAUUGACGUUACCCGCAGAAGAAGCACCGGCUAACUCCGUG
rnacentral:rRNA from 1 species